rnacentral:rRNA from 6 species
CAGUGUCUGGUGGGUAGUUUGACUGGGGCGGUCUCCUCCUAAAGAGUAACGGAGGAGCACGAAGGUUGGCUAAUCCUGGUCGGACAUCAGGAGGUUAGUGCAAUGGCAUAAGCCAGCUUGACUGCGAGCGUGACGGCGCGAGCAGGUGCGAAAGCAGGUCAUAGUGAUCCGGUGGUUCUGAAUGGAAGGGCCAUCGCUCAACGGAUAAAAGGUACUCCGGGGAUAACAGGCUGAUACCGCCCAAGAGUUCAUAUCGACGGCGGUGUUUGGCACCUCGAUGUCGGCUCAUCACAUCCUGGGGCUGAAGUAGGUCCCAAGGGUAUGGCUGUUCGCCAUUUAAAGUGGUACGCGAGCUGGGUUUAGAACGUCGUGAGACAGUUCGGUCCCUAUCUGCCGUGGGCGCUGGAGAACUGAGGGGGGCUGCUCCUAGUACGAGAGGACCGGAGUGGACGCAUCACUGGUGUUCGGGUUGUCAUGCCAAUGGCACUGCCCGGUAGCUAAAUGCGGAAGAGAUAAGUGCUGAAAGCAUCUAAGCACGAAACUUGCCCCGAGAUGAGUUCUCCCUGAGACUUAGAGUCUCCUGAAGGAACGUUGAAGACGACGACGUUGAUAGGCCGGGUGUGUAAGCGCAGCGAUGCGUUGAGCUAACCGGUACUAAUGAACCGUGAGGCUUAACCUUACAACGCCGAAG